AACGCUAGCUACAGGCUUAACACAUGCAAGUCGAGGGGCAGCAUUUUAGUUUGCUUGCAAACUGAAGAUGGCGACCGGCGCACGGGUGAGUAACACGUAUCCAACCUACCGAUAACUCCGGAAUAGCCUUUCGAAAGAAAGAUUAAUACCGGAUAGCAUACGAAUAUCGCAUGAUAUUUUUAUUAAAGAAUUUCGGUUAUCGAUGGGGAUGCGUUCCAUUAGUUUGUUGGCGGGGUAACGGCCCACCAAGACUACGAUGGAUAGGGGUUCUGAGAGGAAGGUCCCCCACAUUGGAACUGAGACACGGUCCAAACUCCUACGGGAGGCAGCAGUGAGGAAUAUUGGUCAAUGGGCGAGAGCCUGAACCAGCCAAGUAGCGUGAAGGAUGAAGGCUCUAUGGGUCGUAAACUUCUUUUAUAUGGGAAUAAAGUUUUCCACGUGUGGAAUUUUGUAUGUACCAUAUGAAUAAGGAUCGGCUAACUCCGUGCCAGCAGCUGCGGUAAUACGGAGGAUCCGAGCGUUAUCCGGAUUUAUUGGGUUUAAAGGGAGCGUAGGUGGAUUGUUAAGUCAGUUGUGAAAGUUUGCGGCUCAACCGUAAAAUUGCAGUUGAAACUGGCAGUCUUGAGUACAGUAGAGGUGGGCGGAAUUCGUGGUGUAGCGGUGAAAUGCUUAGAUAUCACGAAGAACUCCGAUUG
rnacentral:rRNA from 1 species